UGUGCUUUAAUCAAAAUAUAUAUAAUAUACAUACAUAUGUAUAUACAGAUAUAGAUGUUAUGCGUUUCUGUGUGUCUGUGCAUAUAUGUAUAUAUUUAAAUUUUAAUUUAUAAUAAUUAAUUUAAUAAUCAAUUUAAUUCAAUUUAUUUAAUUUUACAGAAUGGAUAGUUAACAUAGUUUCCCCCUUUUCCAAGUCUUCUCAAAUCCUCUCUAUCUUCCUAACUACUGAACUUCGUUUUCUUUCUUUUACAUAAAAUAAACCCACAACUAUUUAAAACAAAGGGCAAAACUAAGAAGAUAAAAAUACUAAGUAAAACAAAGACAAAACGUCCUCCUCCAAGUCACAGAAGGAUUAUGAAUGUCUGUUUAGUGUUGAGAAAAUAUCCUGACCAUGGGGCCUUCUUUGGAGUGUAGCUGGGAUAUACAGAGUAACUCCUUUGAAGAAAAUAGAUUUUCCUUCACUCAAGUGACAUAAAUUACAAGUGGUUUCUUGAUUGGGGAUAAGAUGUUUGGUCUGCUCUCCCUUCUCUCUGCUGGGAUUUUUUGUCUGGCCUAAACCUGUGCAGACCUCGAGCAGGAUGUCAUAGUAAAUUCAUGUGUAUAUCCAUCCCAUUUGUCUGGACGUCAUUCACAGCCUCUGACAUCUUCUCCAAACAUCUGAGUCCUGAGCGGAGGGCUUUAAUGAAGGUAUUCCAUUUAGUACAGGUGUCCUUACUAGUCACUUAUUGAUUUGUUCAUUUAGCAAAAGAAUAGUUAUAGGUUUUCCCGUAGGGUCUAUAACCUACCCAAUCUUAGGUUGUUGGACUUUAGCAGUGUCUGGUGUAGAUUCUAUUAUGUGGGGUGAGCUUUAAAAGUGAAUGAAUAAAUAAAUAAAUAAAUAAAUAAAUAAAUAAAUAAAUACCACAAUAAAACUCAUAUGGUUGGCUUCUUCCAUAACAUUUAUGCCACUCUUGUAAAAUAAAUGUUGCAUUCAGGCAAAUGUUGUAGGGCUGUAGGUUACAGGGUUCAUAGCUUGGUGAUAUUUAUGAUUACUUUUGUUCUCCAAUACUGUGACCCAUACCGCCCUGUAGCAUAAACAGUAGUUAAUGGAAAUGAAACUUCUAUUUGGCCACCAAGUUGAUUCUCCAUGUUUGCUGACAUAAGUAAGUGGUGUUGUUGACUAUAGAGCCUUACCAUCAAGAUGUGGAAGGUCACGGCCAGGAAGCCAUGACAUCAGGGAGAAGAAGGAUGAAAAUCAGAGCAGGAAGAUGGCUGGUUAUAUUUUCAUGCACAUAUAGUAAGCAGAAAGAAUGGGAAAUGAGGUGAAGUCGUAUGGUGUCAAAGUUUACCCCAAGUAAUGUCCUUCCUUGAGGAAGGCUCAGCCUCCUCAUGGUUCCUUCCAAACUUGUAUAAACAGCACCAUUACCUGGAAGUAAAAUAUUUAAAUGAAUCAGCUUAAGGUUAUAGUUCUGAUUCAAACCACAUACCCCAUGCCCAAUACCCCCACCAUAGCAUGAAUCAACAAAGAUGCAUUGUCUUGUAGUGAUGCUGUAGAGACAAAUAAAUGAUGUGUUAAUUCUUAAUGAUAAUAUAAGAAUUUCUAAAAUUAUACCAGCAAUUAUUAAGCCUUUUAUAUGCGGACUGCCCUCUCUGAUAUGAAAACUACAGUUAGAUCUGUACCACCAGUGAAUUGCUUGUGAGGUAGAAAGCAGGUGCUUACAACUUAGGGGCCCAUUCCUAGAGUUUGUAAAACAACUAGCCAAAGGUUAUAAAAGGGAAUUAAGGAUUUAUUGAAGGUGCAAGCACAUAAGAUAAAAUAUUGACUGUGCUUAUCCAUACAAAACUGCAAUGCUAACUUAGUCACAAGAAUUAUAGUUUUAUAUUUUCAAUGAACCCGUGGAGUUGGUGACAGAUGAAUUUCCAGGCUUAAUGGUCACAUGUGUAAACAUCUCUGUUGUAAACUUCUUAUUCAAUUCAUGGUUUGAGUUUAUGUUUGAUUUUGUCAGUGAGCUUCUGUAAAAGAAAGGAUGCUUGGGAAAUCCAUUCCUAUCUAUUCUCUUAGGAAGAGUAUAAGACAAACUAGAAAUGAUUUCAUUACAACAGAAGGAGAGGGCAGAAAGGAAAGGGGGAGGUUAGGGGGAGAUGGAGGGGGACAGUAGAACAGAGUAAUUUAGAAAUUAAGAGCAUAUAAUCUGAUAGUCAUUUCCCCCUUCUACUUUCCCUAGAAACAAAGAUUAGAAUCCCUCUUUUUAAAGUGUCUCCCGCUUUUUUUUCCUCAUCUUUUAUCAACUUUCUCUAACUGACAAAGAGUUAAACUCUCAUUCUUUCUUGGGCCCAUCAUGGAACUCCUGCCAAGAAAAGAACAAAAGGAUCUCUUUACUUAAUCCCCUGCUGUUAUUCAAAAGGUGUCAGUAGAUCCAGGGGUCUGUAGCUUCUGCCUUCAGAGUAAUUUAAAGUCAGUCAAGAAAGGUAAAAGUUAUUAUAAAACAA
rnacentral:lncRNA from 1 species